GCAAGUAGACAACUACAACGAAUUUUAAAAUUCAACUCUUCAUUUCUUAUUCAUGCUUCAAUUUUCAGCUUACAUUAGCCAGUGUAUCAGCUGUGUACCUGGUAUUCGGAAAAGAAAAUAAGAGGAAGAAAUUAGUAGUGCAGUGGUAGCACAAUAUAGCAACAAAAGCAGAAUACCACAGCGAAUAACAACAACAAGCAGCAGUAACCCAGUGAUAACCCAGUAAUAACAAACACCAACAAUAGAACAAUAACAGAUGAGUAGUGAACUCAGGACAACCAGUUGUUAUUUCAGAAAUACCAAGCAACAACACAAACAAAACAGACCGUUCAAGGAAAUAUGAGACAGGGAAUUUUUCUCUUCAACUCUCAAAUAUUGAACCUUUCAGAAUAAAAGCCAGCCCAUUUCUUUUUGCUUUCUAACUCUCAAUUUUCUUCAGUGUCAAGAACUAGUCUAUAUCUCACUCUUAAGUUCUGAAAAAAUUUUCUUCUUCCAAAUCCUCUCCUCAAUUCUCAGAAACUCUCAAAGUGAUCUCUAAGACUUAGUCUCAACUCUCAAAGAUGAUGUCUAAACUCUCUGUGUGUUUAAGCUCUGAAAACUGAUCUUCCCUCUCAAAACUCUUCAGACUGUCUCUUGUAUAUCCGUGUGUAUGUCGUCCCCCUUUUUCUAGGUGUCAAAUGACUCUUAUUUAUAUCUAAAAACCAGACUCUCUUCCCCACCCCUUUAAUUAUUAUUAUUACCCUUCCGAUUACCCUCCCUUUUCUUUAAUUUUCAGCUCCCCAAAUAUUCUCUUCUAUGUCUAUCUUUUAACCUUUUAUCAUUACAUAUACUAUUCCUAAUCUCAAUUAAGCAAACACUCUCAUUACUUAGUGGUCCCCCUCUACCAAUUAGUUCAAAUUAAAGGUGUCAGAGGCCUACAGGAUAGAGCAACUUAGUCAAACCAGAUUUCCUCAUCUUUCUAUUCCUAAAAUACCCCUGGAAUUCCCCUGAUACUUUCUGUGAUUUAAUGUCCUAACCUAACCUCUUUAAUCUAUGUUGAAACCUUCAAUUCUGAACCUGUUCAAACAUAUCAAAUGACCAAAACUGAUUCCCAAUCAAACACCAAGUUACAACAGCUAUAUUCAAUUCCUUAAUUAAAAAUCAAUCAGCAGUUUUAACUACUUAGACCCUAAAUAAUAGGAUUCAAAUCAUUCAACUCGUACAAAGCUUAAGCUUGAACUCAAGUCGAAUCAGAUAACUCCACAACAAAACCAAGGACUUCAGUGUUUCAGAACAUACUUAUAAUCAAACGAAACUAAAUUAAUCAGACACUACUAAUCAGAAGACUAUAUAAGCAACAAAAUACCAAACGUUACAUAGUUAAUUAAACAACAAAAAACAAAAUAUAAUGAAACAACUUGAAGAGCACAACUAAACACAAACACGAACGGACUAAUCGACGAAACUUAAUUAAUCUAUUACAUAGUUCAUAACCUAUGCUAAUCAACAAAACAGAACGAUGAUGAAAUCGAACCAAAAAGAGUCCGAAAGAGAAGAAAGAACUAAUUUCCAGAAAUGACGGAAUAUAACGUAACUAAUCACAUAAGCUCUAACAACAACAAGAGAAAAUAAAAAAGCAGAAAUACCUCACAUUUCAAAUCGGGUUCAAUUCCAGCCCCCAUCCAUAUUAAUUGAAACUUCAGUUUGAAUUUUGAAGCCGUAAUGGAUCUUAAUCGAGUGUUCUCGACAGAGAACACUCGACUAAGGUCGAUUACGACCACAAGUCUUCCCCCUGCGUAUCGGUUCCAGGUCUUAACUCUUUUAGGAUUCAUUCACUCGAAUAAAAAUUCGAACAGUUCCAACUCGAUUCGAAUAUAAAUGAUGUCGUAUUAGGGACAAAGGAGGUUAGGUGGUCAAUAGGUGUGAAUUUUUGUGGCCAUCGGAGAAGAUGAAGUUUCUUGACCAAUCUUCGAUUGAAUAUUCGACGAAGCCGGUGCCGAUUCGAGGGAUAAGGGGUAAGGAUUCAUGGAGGGGAUGGUUUGAUGGUCCGGUGGUGUUAAUUUUGUGGUCAUCAGUGGCUUUGCCGCCGGUUAUGCGGCGAAGGGGAGGGGUGGAGGCUACUGGGGUUUAGGGCUGUUUGGUCUCGGAGAGAGAUGACUGAUGGAGGGGGAUGGUUGAAAGAGGUUGGUUUGAGGGUCUGGGGGUGAUUUUAGUACAUUAAAAU
rnacentral:lncRNA from 1 species